GUGGGAUGAGCCCGCGGCCUAUCAGCUUGUUGGUGGGGUGACGGCCUACCAAGGCGACGACGGGUAGCCGGCCUGAGAGGGUGUCCGGCCACACUGGGACUGAGAUACGGCCCAGACUCCUACGGGAGGCAGCAGUGGGGAAUAUUGCACAAUGGGCGCAAGCCUGAUGCAGCGACGCCGCGUGGGGGAUGACGGCCUUCGGGUUGUAAACCUCUUUCACCAUCGACGAAGGUCCGGGUUCUCUCGGAUUGACGGUAGGUGGAGAAGAAGCACCGGCCAACUACGUGCCAGCAGCCGCGGUAAUACGUAGGGUGCGAGCGUUGUCCGGAAUUACUGGGCGUAAAGAGCUCGUAGGUGGUUUGUCGCGUUGUUCGUGAAAUCUCACGGCUUAACUGUGAGCGUGCGGGCGAUACGGGCAGACUAGAGUACUGCAGGGGAGACUGGAAUUCCUGGUGUAGCGGUGGAAUGCGCACAUAUCAGGAGGAACACCGGUGGCGAAGGCGGGUCUCUGGGCAGUAACUGACGCUGAGGAGCGAAAGCGUGGGGAGCGAACAGGAUUAGAUACCCUGGUAGUCCACGCCGUAAACGGUGGGUACUAGGUGUGGGUUUCCUUCCUUGGGAUCCGUGCCGUAGCUAACGCAUUAAGUACCCCGCCUGGGGAGUACGGCCGCAAGGCUAAAACUCAAAGGAAUUGACGGGGGCCCGCACAAGCGGCGGAGCAUGUGGAUUAAUUCGAUGCAACGCGAAGAACCUUACCUGGGUUUGACAUGCACAGGACGCGUCUAGAGAUAGGCGUUCCCUUGUGGCCUGUGUGCAGGUGGUGCAUGGCUGUCGUCAGCUCGUGUCGUGAGAUGUUGGGUUAAGUCCCGCAACGAGCGCAACCCUUGUCUCAUGUUGCCAGCACGUAAUGGUGGGGACUCGUGAGAGACUGCCGGGGUCAACUCGGAGGAAGGUGGGGAUGACGUCAAGUCAUCAUGCCCCUUAUGUCCAGGGCUUCACACAUGCUACAAUGGCCGGUACAAAGGGCUGCGAUGCCGCGAGGUUAAGCGAAUCCUUAAAAGCCGGUCUCAGUUCGG
rnacentral:rRNA from 1 species